AGAUUGAACGCUGGCGGCAGGCCUAACACAUGCAAGUCGAGCGGAUGAGAGGAGCUUGCUCCUUGAUUCAGCGGCGGACGGGUGAGUAAUGCCUAGGAAUCUGCCUAUUAGUGGGGGACAACGUUUCGAAAGGAACGCUAAUACCGCGUACGUCCUACGGGAGAAAGCGGGGACCUUCGGGCCUCGCGCCAUUAGAUGAGCCUAGGUCGGAUUAGCUAGUUGGUGAGGUAAUGGCUCGACCAAGGCGACGAUCCGUAACUGGUCUGAGAGGAUGAUCAGACACACUGGAACUGAGACACGGUCCAGACU
rnacentral:rRNA from 1 species